CCUACGGGAGGCUGCAGUGGGGAAUAUUGCGCAAUGGGCGAAAGCCUGACGCAGCGACGCCGCGUGAGGGAUGAAGGUCCUCGGAUCGUAAACCUCUGUCAGGAGGGAAGAGCCGCCACGGUGCUAAUCAGCCGUGGUCUGACGGUACCUCCAAAGGAAGCACCGGCUAACUCCGUGCCAGCAGCCGCGGUAAUACGGAGGGUGCGAGCGUUAAUCGGAAUCACUGGGCGUAAAGCGCACGUAGGCUGCUUGGUAAGUCAGGGGUGAAAGCCCGCGGCUCAACCGCGGAAUUGCCUUUGAUACUGCCGAGCUAGAGUCCGGGAGAGGGUAGUGGAAUUCCAGGUGUAGGAGUGAAAUGCGUAGAUAUCGGGAAGAACACCGGUGGCGAAGGCGGCCUGCUGGGCAGUAACUGACGCUGAGGCGCGAGAGCCAGGGUAGCGAACGGGAUUAGAUACCCUGGUAGUC
rnacentral:rRNA from 1 species